rnacentral:rRNA from 1 species
AUGAUCAUGAUGCCUCUAUUCAAGCCUAUGGUUUUACCAAAGGAUAAGAAAGUGAACCACUUUUCCUUAUAUGUCAUGAAUCGGUACCAAAGUAGCGUCGACAUCCUUGACUCUUUACCUUAUCUGAAGAAUCAUCGUCCUUCAAAGAACACCUAUCAUAAAGACUGUGAGAACAUUAUCUCCAGGAUGGUCCAAGUAAUGAAGGCUUUUUAUGGCGAUGCUCAGUACAAUGCGAGCAAGCAGCCCAAAUGGGAGCUUUUUGCAAAGAAACCAACGUUUGUGAAGGUUCCACUUCAAGGGGCGAAUGAAUGUGGCCAUUAUACUCUGAAGUAUGCAGAAUGCUAUGAUGGUGAAAAGAUCGUUGGGAACAUUCGAGAUAAUGAUCCUCAUAUUGUUGAUUGGAAUGCUGAGGAUCUUUAUAGAGUUGUGUUCAACCGGAAUAACCAGCUUCUGGUGAAUGAGCUUCCCAAGGAGUUUCAGCCUUUGGCUCCUGAUGCAUAG